UACGUAGGUGGCAAGCGUUGUCCGGAUUUACUGGGCGUAAAGAGCGCGCAGGCGGUCGUUCAAGUCGCGUGUGAAAGCCCCCGGCUCAACUGGGGAGGGUCACGCGAUACUGAUCGACUCGAAGGCAGGAGAGGGUAGUGGAAUUCCCGGUGUAGUGGUGAAAUGCGUAGAUAUCGGGAGGAACACCAGUGGCGAAGGCGACUACCUGGCCUGUUUCUUGACGCUGAGGCACGAAGGCCAGGGGAGCAAACGGG
rnacentral:rRNA from 1 species